rnacentral:lncRNA from 1 species
AAGAAUAAGAAAAAGUUUGGUGUAGAAAGUGAUAAAAGAGUAACCAAUGAUAUUUCUCCGGAGUCGUCACCAGGAGUUGGAAGGCGAAGAACAAAGACUCCACAUACGUUCCCACACAGUAGAUACAUGAGUCAGAUGUCUGUCCCAGAGCAGGCAGAAUUAGAGAAACUGAAACAGCGGAUAAACUUCAGUGAUUUAGAUCAGAUUAAUACUAACAAGAGCAAAGAUGCAUCUACAAACCCCCCAAACAGAGAAACGAUUGGAUCAGCACAGUGUAAAGAGUUGUUUGCUUCUGCUUUAAGUAAUGACCUCUUGCAAAACUGUCAGGUGUCUGAAGAAGAUGGGAGGGGAGAACCUGCAAUGGAGAGCAGCCAGGUGAUAA